ACAAACAGAGCCGCCACCGUGCGUUAUUUAUCCCAAAAGGAGGAAAGGAAACGCUCGAAGUAAACAUGGAAAAGACAUGGUCUCGCGACCAAAGAGAGAUGGGAUCGGGAGUCAGUUACGCAAGGGGAAGGUAUUAGCACCCCUCACAUCCUUCGUACUCGACGGGAUCCACGCUCAGAAAGAUAGGAGAAAGGUUGCUAAACACUGCUCAAAAG
rnacentral:lncRNA from 1 species